rnacentral:rRNA from 1 species
UGCAAGUCGAGCGGACUGAUGGGAGCUUGCUCCCUGAAGUCAGCGGCGGACGGGUGAGUAACACGUGGGUAACCUGCCUGUAAGACUGGGAUAACUCCGGGAAACCGGGGCUAAUACCGGAUAGUUCUUUUCCUCGCAUGAGGAAAAGUGGAAAGGUGGCU